CCAACGCAGACACCCUGGGGGUCACUCUCCCUGGGCUCUGUCCCGCUGGUGUCGGGGAGCACGGGGCUCUGCUCGAUGAUGUGCAGUCCUUUUCCACAUGGUUGGAGAGAAAAUCGGGCCUUGAGUCUCAGCCUUCAUAUUCCUACAGCUUCUCAGAGUCCCGUGGACAAUGACUAAGGAGAAAACCAUGCAGAAAAUAUCU